UAUUAUUAUUUUGCUAUCACUGUUGAUUCUUCUUCUUCUAUACACUCUAUAGUUGCAGAACUCCAUUUUCAUCUUCGUUAACCGGAGAAUUUUUGAUUGAUAAAAGAAAAAAAAUGAACAGAAAAUUCGGUGGUGGGAAGCCGCCAACAGGAACUCCAUCAAUGGCUUGGUCGACUGUAGUUGUUGUUGUUUCUCUCCUUGCUGGUGCCUCCGUUGUGCACAACUUUUUCAAACCUGAUCUGACUCUGCCUCCUAUAGAAAGCAUAGAUGGAAUCAAGCAGAAAGAUGCAGAGAAUCAAUAAUCUUUUAUUUCCAUUCAAUUAAGUUUUGAUAAAUUUUAUGAAAUUGUUGUUCUUCCCUUUGUAUUUGACAGAUUUUUCUUUUGUAGCAGCAACACAGAAACCAAAUUUAGUUUUUUAUGUUUUAUACUAGGUUGUGCUUUGUGCAUGUACCCCUUCUAUUUUGUCCAUAGUCGAUAUUGAUGCACUAAGCUUUUGCUAUACGAAAGUCUAUUUCAGAAAAGGUAGGACUACAAGGGUUAAGUGUACACAACUUUUAGUAAGAAGAAAGUUACUCA